GUUGAACGCUGGCGGCAGGCCUAACACAUGCAAGUCGAGCGGUAACAGGAAGAAGCUUGCUUCUUUGCUGACGAGUGGCGGACGGGUGAGUAAUGUCUGGGAAACUGCCUGAUGGAGGGGGAUAACUACUGGAAACGGUAGCUAAUACCGCAUAACGUCGCAAGACCAAAAAGGGGGACCUUCGGGCCUCUUGCCAUCGGAUGUGCCCAGAUGGGAUUAGCUAGUAGGUGGGGUAACGGCUCACCUAGGCGACGAUCCCUAGCUGGUCUGAGAGGAUGACCGGCGACACUGGAACUGAGACACGGUCCAGACUCCUACGGGAGGCAGCAGUGGGGAAUAUUGGACAAUGGGCGCAAGCCUGAUGCAGCCAUGCCGCGUGUAUGAAGAAGGCCUUCGGGUUGUAAAGUACUUUCAGCGGGGAGGAAGGGAGUAAAGUUAAUACCUUGGCUCAUUGACGUUACCCGCAGAAGAAGCACCGGCUAACUCCGUG
rnacentral:rRNA from 1 species